AGGCUUCAGGAAGGGAGACUUGAGUCUCCAUGGAAACCAUCUCAUUUCCUUGGCUACUGGGUUCCAACUGUGAGGGCUGGGGCUGAGGAACCAAUCCUUCGACAUUUCCUCAGUCUGGGCAAUGAGGUCCUGGCCCUGCUCCAAUUUGGGUAUCAGUUGCAGAUAGCUUCUUGGUGCUGGAACCCCACCCUGGCUUAAACCAUUUUUGAGAGGGAGACUUAGAGGUAAGCUCUCCUCACACUAGAGCCCAGUCUGGCCUGGGACAUUCCGUGCAUCUGGGAUGGCCGUGAACACUCGACAGUCCUCAGCUUUCAGCUCUCCGAGUGCUGGGAGCACAGAUUUGGAAACCUUGACUCAAAGCUUGUCCAAAGCGAGACAGAUGAUAAAUGGUCUCUGGAGCUUAGGAUGGCUGGCUGAAGAAACAGAAGAAAUGCAAGGAGGUGCCUACAAGCCAGAGGGAGAUGUUUAUUUUCCUCUGAUAUGAAGAUGUCUUGACCUGCCUAUCAAGGGUAACUCAUGAAUUCUUGCAUUAAAAACAUCUGUUGACACUUCUGUAAGGAUGCUUUUCCAAGUCGCGGCUGGGCAGAUGAGGCAUGUACAUGGACUGCAUGAUCAAGUCAUGGACAUUCAUAAAUGGUCCAAACUCAUUGCCAGCUCACAGUAAAGUCUGUGUGUACUCCCAUGCUCACCACUGCAAUGGGGCUUUAUCACCAAUAAAAGAUUAAGAAAAUAGAGCAUUUGCUGAGAAUGCUCAUUGGUACUUUCCUAAGUGACUUCUUACAAUC